UACAGAGGUCCCAAGCGUUGUUCGGAUUCACUGGGCGUAAAGGGUGCGUAGGCGGCUUGUUAAGUCAGGGGUGAAAGUUUUCGGCCCAACCGGAAAAUUGCCUUUGAUACUGGCGAGCUGGAGUGCGUGAGGGGUGACCGGAACGAGUGGUGUAGCGGUGAAAUGCGUAGAUAUCACUCGGAAGGCCAACGGCGAAGGCAGGUCACUGGUGCGCAACUGACGCUGAGGCACGAAAGCGUGGGGAGCAAACAGG
rnacentral:rRNA from 1 species